ACAAAACUACCUUUAGUAUGCAACCCUGCCAAUAUGCAAGGAGAUGUAAUUUGAAAAAUUUAAACGGAUUUCUUCAAUCAACCUGAGCUGCGGACAUCUUGCGAAUUUAUUUUUAAUCAUUUAAUAGAGCAUUUACUAAUUUUGAUAUCUUUUCAGAUUUUUCAACAAAAUCAGCAUCAACGAGGAAGAUGGUCAACCAGGCUUGUAUCGUUGGAUGCGGAUUAGGGGUACCUCUGUAUCCCUUCCCACCAGAGGGAGAGAUCGGCCGAAAUGUCGUUUUGGCCUAACGGACCGGAAUGGGCGGCGUGAAUGGUUACGGCUGUUGGGUGUGACUGGCUCGACAGCAAAAUUUAUUUUCGCAUGCCAAAGGCAUUUUUCCCACAAGGUGAGAGGGGGAAGGAUCCUCUAUAGAUGGGCAGUUCCGGACAUUAAUUUAAGAGUAUGUUCGCCCCCAGUGACAGUUG